GUCCUUUUGAAUUUAAUUUAAGGUCUAACCUGCCCACUGAAAUUUUGAAGGGCCGCAGUAAUUUGACUGUGCAAAGGUAGCAUAAUCAUUAGUUUUUUAAUUGAAAGCUUGUAUGAAGGGUUGGACGAGGUAAAUUCUGUCUCUAUUUAAUUUUAUAUAGAAUUUAAUUUUUAAGUUAAAAAGCUUAAAUUUUUUUAAAAGACGAGAAGACCCUAUAGAUCUUUAUAUUAAAAGUAUUAAUUUUAAUUAAGAAUAUUUAAUUUUUUAGUAUUUAUAAUAUUUUAUUGGGGUAAUAAAAAGAUUAAAAUAAUUCUUUUUUUAUUUUAACAUUUAUAUAUGAUUAUAUGAUCCAAUUUUAUUGAUUAAAAGAUUAAGUUACCUUAGGGAUAACAGCGUAAUUUUUUUAGAGAGUUCAUAUCGAUAAAAAAGUUUGCGACCUCGAUGUUGGAUUAAAAAUUAUCUUAGGUGCAGAAGUUUAAGAUUUUGGUCUGUUCGACCAUUAAAUUUUUACAUGAUCUGAGUUCAGACCGGUGUAAGCCAGGUCGGUUUCUAUCUUUAAUAAAAUAUAAUAUUUUAGUACGAAAGGACCAAAUAUUUAAUAUAUUUAUAUUUAGUAAUUUUGAAUAU
rnacentral:rRNA from 1 species